UUUUGGUUUGGCCUGCCAGUAGUCAUACGCUCGUCUCAAAGAUUAAGCCAUGCAUGUGUAAGUAUAAAUAAUUUUACUUUGAAACUGCGAAUGGCUCAUUAUAUCAGUUAUAGUUUAUUAGAAAUAUUUUACUACUUGGAUAACCGUAGUAAUUCUAGGGCUAAUACAUGAGUAAAACCUCAACUUCGGAAGAGGUGUGUUUAUUAGUAUGAAAACCAUAUAUCUUCGGAUAUAAUAGUGAGUAAUAAUAACCUUUCAUAUCGUAUGUCGUAAGAUAACGAUAGUUCUUUCAAGUUUCUGCCCUAUCAGCUUUCGAUGGUAGUAUAUGGGACUACCAUGGCAGUAACGGGUAACGAAGAAUUUGGGUUCGAUUUCGGAGAGGGAGCCUGAGAGAUGGCUACCACAUCCAAGGAAGGCAGCAGGCGCGUAAAUUACCCAAUCCUGACAUAGGGAGGUAGUGACAAUAAAUCACAAUGCGGAACUUUUAGUUUUGCAAUUGGAUUGAGAACAAUGUACAAAUGUUAUCGAUAAACAAUUGGAGGGCAAGUCUGGUGCCAGCAGCCGCGGUAAUUCCAGCUCCAAUAGCGUAUAUUAACGUUGUUGCAGAAAAAAAAACC
rnacentral:rRNA from 1 species